AUUGAACGCUGGCGGCAUGCCUUACACAUGCAAGUCGAACGGCAGCACGGGUGCUUGCACCUGGUGGCGAGUGGCGAACGGGUGAGUAAUACAUCGGAACGUACCUUAUCGUGGGGGAUAACGCAGCGAAAGCUGUGCUAAUACCGCCUACGCCCUGAGGGGGAAAGCGGGGGAUCGCAAGACCUCGCGCGAUUAGAGCGGCCGAUGCCUGAUUAGCUUGUUGGUGGGGUAAAAGCCCACCAAGGCGACGAUCAGUAGCUGGGCUGAGAGGACGAUCAGCCACACUGGGACUGAGACACGGCCCAGACUCCUACGGGAGGCAGCAGUGGGGAAUUUUGGACAAUGGGGGCAACCCUGAUCCAGCAAUGCCGCGUGAGUGAAGAAGGCCUUCGGGUUGUAAAGCUCUUUUGUCAGGGAAGAAACACCGGCUCUAACACAGUCUGGGAAUGACGGUACCUGAAGAAUAAGCACCGGCUAACUACGUGCCAGCCGCCGCCGUAA
rnacentral:rRNA from 1 species